GCGUUGAUCUGCGGAGGCAGGCCCACAGGCUAUCCAGGUAAGAACGUGGGGCCAGUGAGGAAUAAAUUCAGAUGCAAGCAACAGAAUACCCAACCGACAGGCGAUUCCAAGACAGGCUUUUUUUCUUUCUCACCUAACUAGAAAUCUGAAGGUGGGAGUUAUCCCAUCAGCAGCCCAGACUGGUGAGCGUUUGUCUAUGUUGUUUACAGGGCGGCUGCUGGAACUGCAAAUACCACACACACCUCUACAGUCAAGGCACAAAGAAAGGACGAAGAGACAGGGCCAGUCACAUCUGUGCCCUUUUAUAGGGAAAGACAAACCUGCCCUAGAAGCCCCUGCAGCGGAUUCCCCCGGGGCCUCAACGGCCACAGCAGGCCCCAUGAACGGCGGUACUAUGAGGGAUUCUGAGAUGGCACAGAACCAGGUUGUCAUGGCAGCAUUGGCCAAGCAUGCUCUGUUCCCAGGGGCUUGGCAGACCCCCAAAAAGUAGAGUUCCAUAGGCAGGAAAGAAGGGGAAUGGAUAUAGGGCAGGCGGCAGGUCUGCCUGCCACAGGUGGGAAGACAAGGAUGGGGAGGCUCACAGAUUCCCUAGCAGGGUGGGGAUCAGAUCAAGGCUGCCUGACCCGCUACAAAACCCGAGAUCCUGCUGCACAGCUGGUUGGGGGCAGAGCCCUCCUGCUGCCGCUCCUGCUGCUCCAGCCACCUCAGCAACAGCAUGGAUGCCACAGAUGCCAGCCACCAGAUGUCCACGAGACCCACUGCCGGCCUCACUGCCAGAAGCGGUUCUGUGCUGCCCCUGCUUAUGGUGUGAAGACACCGCAGGCUUCCAACUGAAGGCUGGAGGCGGAUGCACCUGGUUGAUGGAGCCCGGGCCAUGUGACUGAGUCCUGACAGCAAGGGAUGCUGGGAAAGUCCUUCCAGACUGAGACACAGAACACAGACGUGUUGUGAACCUGUGAACCGAGACAUAGAGACUGCAGUUUGAAGACGCUGAAAUGAUUGGAAUUUCCAAGGCAGAGCACCUAUGUGGAGCUGGCCAUGCAGGUGAUGAGUUCUAGAAAUCCAGAUAGAGGCCCCCUUAAGGAUUUUGCUAAAUCUUAAACUGUGCAUAUGUACAAGGAAAACCCAUGACACUCAGCAAAGAGUGACAGCUGGUCAGCUGUAACACGGAGCGAGUGACAGGGUGCACAGAACCUGAGAGACGUCUGUGUUACCAACAGACCUCAUCAGGCACUCAGGGCAUGUGGUGAGCAGUAAGGAAGAGUCUCACCUUGAUAGCAAAUCUCAACUACCCCAGAACAGAAGCGUCAUUUAGACUUACUACACGAAACUUCAGAAUAAGCCUCAAAAAUAUCAACCAGCUCUGCAAAUUGACUUUCCGUCAGAACUAACUUCAGCAUUCUAAAAAGAGACGACAAAAAA